rnacentral:rRNA from 1 species
UCGGGAAUUUUGGGCAAUGGGCGAAAGCCUGACCCAGCAACGCCGCGUGAGUGAAGAAGGCCUUCGGGUUGUAAAGCUCUUUUGUCAGGGAAGAAACGGUGAGAGCUAAUAUCUCUUGCUAAUGACGGUACCUGAAGAAUAAGCACCGGCUAACUACGUGCCAGCAGCCGCGGUAAUACGUAGGGUGCAAGCGUUAAUCGGAAUUACUGGGCGUAAAGCGUGCGCAGGCGGUUUUGUAAGUCUGAUGUGAAAUCCCCGGGCUCAACCUGGGAAUUGCAUUGGAGACUGCAAGGCUAGAAUCUGGCAGAGGGGGGUAGAAUUCCACGUGUAGCAGUGAAAUGCGUAGAUAUGUGGAGGAACACCGAUGGCGAAGGCAGCCCCCUGGGUCAAGAUUGACGCUCAUGCACGAAAGCGUGGGGAGCAAACAGGAUUAGAUACCCCCGUAGUCCCUGAGCGGGCUGGCAAGGCGCAU